AAUCAACGCUGGCGGCGUGCCUAACACAUGCAAGUCGAACGCGAAAGUUCCUUCGGGAAUGAGUAGAGUGGCGUCCGGGUGAGUAACGCGUGGGUAAUCUGCCGUUUGGGUGGGGAAUAACUCAGGGAAACUUGAGCUAAUACCGCAUAAUGCAGCGGCUCGACAUCGAGACAGUUAGUUAAAGCUCCUCGCAAGGAGGGGCGACCUAAAGAGGAGCCUGCGUCUGAUUAGCUAGUUGGUGAGGUAAUGGCUCACCAAGGCUACGAUCAGUAGCUGGUCUGAGAGGACGGCCAGCCACAAUGGCACUGAAACGACGGGCCAUACUCCUACGGGAGGCAGCAGGUGGGGUAAUUUUGCG
rnacentral:rRNA from 1 species